GUGCCAGCCGCCGCGGUAAUACGUAGGGUGCAAGCGUUGUCCGGAAUUAUUGGGCGUAAAGAGCUCGUAGGCGGUCUGUCGCGUCGGCUGUGAAAACUCGGGGCUCAACCCCGAGCCUGCAGUCGAUACGGGCAGACUAGAGUGCUGUAGGGGAGACUGGAAUUCCUGGUGUAGCGGUGAAAUGCGCAGAUAUCAGGAGGAACACCGGUGGCGAAGGCGGGUCUCUGGGCAGUAACUGACGCUGAGGAGCGAAAGCGUGGGGAGCGAAC
rnacentral:rRNA from 1 species